rnacentral:rRNA from 1 species
CCUACGGGAGGCAGCAGUAAGGAAUAUUGGUCAAUGGAGGCAACUCUGAACCAGCCAUGCCGCGUGCAGGAUGACGGCCCUAUGGGUUGUAAACUGCUUUUGUACCAGAGAAAACCUACUCACGUGUGAGUAGCUGAUAGUAUGGUAAGAAUAAGCAUCGGCUAACUUCGUGCCAGCAGCCGCGGUAAGACGAAGGAUGCAAGCGUUAUCCGGAUUCAUUGGGUUUAAAGGGUGCGUAGGCGGACUUGUAAGUCAGUGGUGAAAUCUCUUCGCUUAACGAAGAAACUGCCAUUGAUACUGCAGGUCUAGAGUAUAGAUGACGUUGGCGGAAUAUGACAUGUAGUGGUGAAAUACUUAGAUAUGUCAUAGAACACCGAUUGNGAG